CGUACAACUUGUCUUCGCUCCUCUUCAGCUCCACCGUCGUAUUCAAACAUGGUCACCUCCGUCUCCAGCUCCUCCUCCAGCAUUAUAUUGAACAUCUCCUGCACAAAGUUGUUCUCAUGUAGCGCUCCUCCUCAGCUCCACCCUCUCCUCAAGUCACCUGUGGCUCCAGCGUCUCUUUGAUUCAUUCCCUCAGCGGACAGGUGGGAUCUUAAAAAGGAACAGGAGGUGAAAUCUAAAGAAGACCUGUGAACAACAGAACAGAGGAGACAGGAAGCAGCACAGAGGACACAGACAGGAUGAGGCUGAAUGAACAGACCGACAACGAGAGAGAAGAAGAAAAGAUGAGAGACAAGUGUCAAUGCUGAGACCUCAAAGCAAACAGAGGAGUCCAUUUAAAGAGGAGACGGACGAGUUUGGAGACAACAAGAGGUCGGCACAACAUUUCGAAUCAGCUGCAAAAACAGAGUUUGCAAAUCAAAUCUGAAUAAAUAUAGAUCCAUGAAUAAUCUCUUCUGUCAACUGUUGGUAUUUUCUCUUUAUUUUGAUGUAGGGGUCAUUUAUAUAUCCUUAAUAAUAUCACCUUGUUAAGGAAAAAAACAGGUUUUCUCAAAAAUGUUGAAUAUCCUGACUCUGAAUUAUUUAAUUUGAAGUUUAUGUUUUGCUGCUGUUAUCAUACCCAAUAUGAUGCAAUCCUGAAAUCCAACAGAGGAGUUGAUCAAAUUUUCAAUUUCAAGUACAUAUUUGAGAUUGUGAGAACAAGGUGAGAGAGAGAGCGUCUGUCCUGAGAAGAGGAUUAUAUGGAUGAGGACUACACCGGGCCAAGGUGCAGCUCAUUCCCUGAUUACGACCCCGCCUUGACCUGAACCUGUAACAGAGAACAAACCAGCAGCACGGUGUGGAGGGCUC